GCAUCCUGGAAACAUCGACCCAACUGACCCCUUUAUAACGUACGCUACGGGCCCCGCACGAGCUUCAUCCGGCACUGGAGGCACAGCAACGCGCCGGCCACAGACGAACCGUGCAAUCACUUCGCUGAGCUCGUCAUCGGAGGAGCCGACGGUGUGCAAGUCUGCCGUAUAGGAUACGAGCCACUGGUCUCAGCUUUUCCCAUCAUCAAUGUCCUAAAGUAAAAUGUGCAGCCCUGCAGUUGCUUAGUCAAGCCACUGCUGGCAGAAGGGGCCUCCGCUAGGAACGAGCUCUUGAGAGCCCCGCUCGAGUUGGUGGUUUGGCCUACUCUUCCACUCUGGACAGACGUCUUGGAAGAGGUGGGCGAGAAACCCACGGGUUACC